CAAGACGUAGCUUAAGCAAAAGCAUUCAGUUUACACCUGAAAGAUAUCUGCUGACACCGGAUCGUCUUGA
rnacentral:tRNA from 1 species